CAAGAAGGUGCUGUUGUAAAAUGGAGAAUUGAGAAGCAUUAAUAGCCUCUACAACAAGGAGAUAAUGCAGGAACGAAGAACUCAUGUCAAGGAUUGACAGCAUACAAAGUCAAUGUUUCCGGUGAUUAGUUGCAUCCUCUGUUCGGUGAUUCGGGUGAAUGUUUUGACCAGUUGGACGAUGUGAACGCAAGAUAAAUAGAACAGACAUAAAGUACAGCCCAGUGAAAGGAACAAGUUCAUCGCAAGAAGAAGAAUUUUAAUGCUACCACUGUCCAGAACUACUGAGUCUGCUGUAACCAUGAUGUGAUCAUAUGAGUGCUUCACCGGUCUGGACAAUGCUCGAAAAUCCCCCAAAAAGGCAUAUUUCCAUAAACUACGACUCAGGUUACAUCAACAACAGCCAAGAACACCCCUUAUUGAUUCGAAUGGACACAUCUCUACGACCCGACUAAACCUCUGCAGAACAAGACUUUUUAACUGUAAAGUAUUCUCAUUUCAAAAAACCUAUAAACUAUAAAAGUACU